UACAGAGGGUGCAAGCGUUAAUCGGAAUUACUGGGCGUAAAGCGCACGUAGGUGGCGACGUAAGUCGGGUGUGAAAGCCCCGGGCUCAACCUGGGAAUUGCAUUCGAGACUGCAUUGCUGGAGUACGGAAGAGGAAGGCGGAAUUCCCGGUGUAGCGGUGAAAUGCGUAGAUAUCGGGAGGAACAUCAGUGGCGAAGGCGGCCUUCUGGUCCAGUACUGACACUCAAGUGCGAAAGCGUGGGGAGCAAACAGG
rnacentral:rRNA from 1 species